rnacentral:rRNA from 1 species
GAUGAACGCUGGCGGCGUGCCUAAUACAUGCAAGUCGAGCGAGCGGCGGACGGGUGAGUAAUGUCUGGGAAACUGCCUGAUGGAGGGGGAUAACUACUGGAAACGGUAGCUAAUACCGCAUACCAUCAGAUGUGCCCAGAUGGGAUUAGCUAGUAGGUGGGGUAACGGCUCACCUAGGCGACGAUCCCUAGCUGGUCUGAGAGGAUGACCAGCACAGCUGUAAGUGGAACACGGUCCAGACUCCGAGGGGAGGCAGCGGGGGGGAAUAUUGCACAAUGGGCGCAAUCCGGAUGCAGCCAUGCCGCGUGUAUGAAGAAGGCCUUCGGGUUGUAAAGUACUUUCAGCGGGGAGGCGUUACCCGCAGAGGAAGCACCGGCUAACUCCGUGCCAGCGGCCGCGGUAAUU